rnacentral:tRNA from 1 species
CAGCGAGUAGUUUAACUAAGAAUAUUAGCUUUGGGAGUUAAUGGUGGGAGUUAAAAUCUCCUCUCUCUGA